rnacentral:tRNA from 1 species
GCCCAAGUGGCGGAAUUGGCAGACGCGCCGCACUCAAAAUGCGGUUCUUAGGAGUGUGGGUUCAAGUCCCACCUUGGGCACAA